rnacentral:rRNA from 1 species
GAAACUGCGAAUGGCUCAUUAAAUCAGUUAUCGUUUAUUUGAUAGUACCUUACUACUUGGAUAACCGUGGUAAUUCUAGAGCUAAUACAUGCUAAAAACCUCGACUUCGGAAGGGGUGUAUUUAUUAGAUAAAAAACCAAUGCCCUUCGGGGCUCCUUGGUGAUUCAUGAUAACUUAACGAAUCGCAUGGCCUUGCGCCGGCGAUGGUUCAUUCAAAUUUCUGCCCUAUCAACUUUCGAUGGUAGGAUAGUGGCCUACCAUGGUAUCAACGGGUAACGGGGAAUUAGGGUUCUAUUCCGGAGAGGGAGCCUGAGAAACGGCUACCACAUCCAAGGAAGGCAGCAGGCGCGCAAAUUACCCAAUCCCGACACGGGGAGGUAGUGACAAUAAAUACUGAUACAGGGCUCUUUUGGGUCUUGUAAUUGGAAUGAGUACAAUUUAAAUACCUUAACGAGGAACAAUUGGAGGGCAAGUCUGGUGCCAGCAGCCGCGGUAAUUCCAGCUCCAAUAGCGUAUAUUAAAGUUGUUGCAGUUAAAAAGCUCGUAGUUGAACCUUGGGCCUGGCUGGCCGGUCCGCCUCACCGCGUGUACUGGUCCGGCCGGGCCUUUCCUUCUGGGGAUCCGCAUGCCCUUCACUGGGUGUGUCGGGGAACCAGGACUUUUACUUUGAAAAAAUUAGAGUGUUCAAAGCAGGCCUUUGCUCGAAUACAUUAGCAUGGAAUAAUAGAAUAGGACGUGCGGUCCUAUUUUGUUGGUUUCUAGGACCGCCGUAAUGAUUAAUAGGGAUAGUCGGGGGCAUCAGUAUUCAAUUGUCAGAGGUGAAAUUCUUGGAUUUAUUGAAGACUAACUACUGCGAAAGCAUUUGCCAAGGAUGUUUUCAUUAAUCAGUGAACGAAAGUUAGGGGAUCGAAGACGAUCAGAUACCGUCGUAGUCUUAACCGUAAACUAUGCCGACUAGGGAUCGGGCGAUGUUAUUCUUUUGACUCGCUCGGCACCUUACGAGAAAUC